rnacentral:rRNA from 1 species
GGCGGCAUGCCUUACACAUGCAAGUCGAACGGCAGCACGGGAGCAAUCCUGGUGGCGAGUGGCGAACGGGUGAGUAAUAUAUCGGAACGUGCCCAGUCGUGGGGGAUAACGCAGCGAAAGCUGUGCUAAUACCGCAUACGAUCUAUGGAUGAAAGCGGGGGAUCGCAAGACCUCGCGCGAUUGGAGCGGCCGAUAUCAGAUUAGCUAGUUGGCGGGGUAAAAGCCCACCAAGGCGACGAUCUGUAGCUGGUCUGAGAGGACGACCAGCCACACUGGAACUGAGACACGGUCCAGACUCCUACGGGAGGCAGCAGUGGGGAAUUUUGGACAAUGGGCGCAAGCCUGAUCCAGCAAUGCCGCGUGCAGGAUGAAGGCCUUCGGGUUGUAAACUGCUUUUGUACGGAACGAAAAGGCUUUCUCUAAUACAGAGGGCUCAUGACGGUACCGUAAGAAUAAGCACCGGCUAACUACGUGCCAGCAGCCGCGGUAAUACGUAGGGUGCGAGCGUUAAUCGGAAUUACUGGGCGUAAAGCGUGCGCAGGCGGUGAUGUAAGACAGAUGUGAAAUCCCCGGGCUUAACCUGGGAAC